UGACGUAAAACUUGUAUG
rnacentral:miRNA from 1 species